UCCUAAUGGUCCAUACAGUAAAGAAUCUGCAUGCAAUGCAGAAGAUCCAGGUUCAAUCUCUGGAUUGGGAA
rnacentral:tRNA from 1 species